UGGGGAAUAUUGCACAAUGGGCGAAAGCCUGAUGCAGCGACGCCGCGUGCGGGAUGAAGGCCUUCGGGUUGUAAACCGCUUUUAAUUGGGAGCAAGCGAGAGUGAGUGUACCUUUUGAAUAAGCACCGGCUAACUACGUGCCAGCAGCCGCGGUAAUACGUAGGGUGCAAGCGUUAUCCGGAAUUAUUGGGCGUAAAGAGCUCGUAGGCGGUUUGUCACGCCUGGUGUGAAAGUCCAUCGCUUAACGGUGGAUCUGCGCCGGGUACGGGCAGGCUAGAGUGCAGUAGGGGAGAUUGGAAUUCCCGGUGUAACGGUGGAAUGUGUAGAUAUCGGGAAGAACACCAAUGGCGAAGGCAGAUCUCUGGGCUGUUACUGACGCUGAGGAGCGAAAGCAUGGGGAGCGAACAGGAUUAGAUACCCUGGUAGUCCAUGCCGUAAACGGUGGAUGCUGGAUGUGGGACCCUUCCACGGGUUCCGUGUCGGAGCUAACGCGUUAAGCAUCCCCGCCUGGGGAGUACGGCCGCAAGGCUAAAAC
rnacentral:rRNA from 1 species